rnacentral:rRNA from 1 species
UGGGCAACCUGCCCCCGACCCUGGGAUGACUCCGGGGAAACCGGAGCUAAUACCGGAUACUCUCCUCUGACCACCUGGUCGGAUGAGGAAAGGUCCGCCGGUCGGGGAUGGGCCCGCGGCCUAUCAGCUUGUUGGUGGGGUAACGGCCUACCAAGGCAUCGACGGGUAGCUGGUCUGAGAGGACGACCAGCCACACUGGGACUGAGACACGGCCCAGACUCCUACGGUAGGCA